AAUGGUGGUUACAUGGCAAUACUUGAAAAAAAAAAGUUACUUCCAGUUCACAGGAAGAAGUGGAAAGAGGCCAGAAGAAUAGUCUGUUGUUGAAAUUGAUUUGCUGUCAACUUAUUUGGUACACAGAAUUUGCAAGAUGGUGAACUGGUGGUUAAAUUGUGGAGCAUGUAUUUGAAGAGUUGUAGAAAUAUUCGAUGACAUGUCAAGGGAGGACUGAAAAGAAAGAUCAUCUUAAUGUUUUUAAGUCUUACUCAGUAUGACAAGAAUACUUGACAAUUGGUUUGCGGAAUAGCCUCUGCCUCUGAUCUUCCAUUUGUCUGCUAUAUCCAGUUCUCUUGGAAGGUGUUCAAGGAGGUGAGGCGAUAGGAAGACAUUUGAAUAGGAUUAACUUGAAAUAACCCAAAACAGGUGAAUAAUUUCUUGCUAUGCGGUGAUAUGGACUCAUUUUCUCAUUCUCCUAUGACCCCAAAGAUCUUGUGAAAGGACAAAGUGACAUUAAUGAUGGUAGGGAGGAACAUCAACAGAGACGCAGGAGGGAUACUGAAUAAUCAGGUUGAUAGGUGCUAAAUCCAUGAGAGAACAAGUGAACAGGAACCUUUGCAUGGAUGCCAUCUUCUAUGGAGAGCCGCAGAUCAGGUGGUAAUACUUGGCUAUUGUGGGACUUGCGUACUUGAUCUCCAUGUUCUCAGCUUCCAUGAUUGAUGAUCCAAACUGAUGAGCCAGUCAAUCCGGUCAGAAAGUGGUGGUAAUUUUUUCAUUUGGGUAAAAGUGAAUGGGAAAAGAAAAACCAUAAAGGUUCUUUACAUGGCCCAUAGAGGAAGGCUCUCAUGUGUUGUGGUCUGCCCCUUAGUGACCGAAUGGUUCACAUAGGUGUGGUGCUUCUGCUCAUAAUUCAUGAUACCAUGGUCUGAAAGUCAUAAUGUAAUGUGCUUGAUAAUGCAAGUGCUAGCUAGUGUAGCUGCCAAGGGUCAGAGCUGGUUGGUUAUAUGGGCGAUUUUUCUGUUUCUCAAUAAAAAAAUAGAAGGAAGAACAUUUAAUUGGACAAUUCUAAACCACAAAAUCGAUCAGAGUCUCUAAUAGAGAGUAAUAUAAGGCCCACAACAAGUAUAAUUGCAUCCCAGUGUCAAGGCAAGGUAUGCAUGCCUCUUCAGGCUCAAUCGCCCCUCAUAACUCUUCUCUUCUAUCCAGUUAGACCAAGGGGACCACUCUGCCUUCCUGGCCUAGCUCGUUUUCUGUUCUGCUUGUUCACACACAGUUGUUAAUUGAUCGUAUCGAGUUUUACCCUC